rnacentral:rRNA from 1 species
UACGGAGGGUGCAAGCGUUAUCCGGAUUUACUGGGUUUAAAGGGUGCGUAGGUGGGUCUGUAAGUCAGUGGUGAAAUCUCCGGGCUUAACCCGGAAACUGCCAUUGAUACUAUAGGUCUUGAAUUAUCUGGAGGUGAGCGGAAUAUGUCAUGUAGCGGUGAAAUGCUUAGAUAUGACAUAGAACACCAAUUGCGAAGGCAGCUCACUACGGAUGUAUUGACACUGAGGCACGAAAGCGUGGGGAUCAAACAGG